GGCGCUGCGCUGGAGGCGGCGGAGCAGGAAGGACGAUCCUCUCUAUGAAGUUUCUUUCCACAGCACUGCAGGUGUCACGGCGCUGGAGGCUGAGGUGGAAGUCCCUGUUAAGUGUCUUCACAAGGAGAUAUGUUGUAAUGCUGAAACACCCAACGAUACUUUCACCGUGAAAGACAGGAAGAGUCCUGAGUAUGAGAACCUUGUGACUGCAAUGGAAUCAGAAUAUGAAACAGAGGGAAUUUAGCAGAGUACUAGCUCUUCUUCGUGAGCAGCCAUGCAGGACUGCAGAUACCAGAUAGUGAACUUAACAGGAGGAGACCCUUCCUCCUGUUGGUCUUCUGCUUUGAUAAAUGUUUCACUGCUUGCUUUAACCCAGAGGAACUGCAUAAUCUUCUUGGGCUUUGGGAAACGAGGCCCUGCCCACUGGAGCAGAAACCCUCAGCUGAGCAUUUGUCUACCCACUUCUACAGAGUGAGUAAUUUCUGAGCAGCCUGAAGGACUGAGGUCAGGAAGAGAGGAUCUGAGGGACUUGGAACUUGAACGUCUUUAGCCUGCAAAUCCAUGAGUAGCUGCGUGCAAUGCUGGCAGCCAGUAACAUCAGCAAAGGGUACUUUUCAGUGCAUGUUCCUGUUAGGACAUCCCAGGCUGCAAAGAACCAGGGAUUGUGCUGUAAAUGGACAUCUUCUGGCUUUCGCAGUUCAGCAAAUACUGGUUUG